UGCUGCGCAACUCCUAUCCCUACCUCCACGCGGUACCGGCCGGAAACUAUGAGCAACCUUAGGGAAGAUCGGGUAACCAACCCCGGUGGGAACUUUGGUCGUAGGCUGACAGGGAAGG
rfam:Aedes albopictus isolate Foshan contig6491, whole genome shotgun sequence.